CUACAACAUUGUAUAUAAUCAUGUUUUCUAUAUGAACUUUUUGGUCACCCUUCAGGUUAAACUAAUAGUAAGCUUAAAGGGACGUGAAAACGAGUUCAAAAACAAUGCUAUUGAGCUUAUUCGACGUUUCCGAGAUAACGUAGGGGAGUUAGCCGUUGAGGAGAGCAAAAACUUAAGGGACAGGAACAUGACAUUAGUAUUGGUUCCAAACAAAGCUGUUAUACAAAAGGAAGCACCAAAGAAGAAAGAAAAGACAACAGGAACAGAGACCCAAGUAUCCGCAAGCGUAUGAGCCACC